GACUCUCGACAACAGAUAUCUCAGCUCUCGCAUCUACAAAUUCUAUAGCAAAAUGAAAUACUUGGUAUGAAUUGUAGAAUCUCAUGAACCAUUGUGUCUUUGAACGCAAGUUGUGCUCGAAGCCAUUAGGCCGAGGGUACAUCAUCUUGGGAGUCA
rnacentral:rRNA from 1 species